UACUGAACUUUUUUUAACCCGUGUACCCACUUCCCCUAUACCCAUUUCCUCAACCAUUCUUCGGUCUUCCCUUUCCCCUCAGUCCCUUCAAUCUUCAAUGUUCUUCGUCUUUCCAUUCCUGGUCCGUGCGUGGUGGUCUAUCUCUCUCGGUUUCCCGUAGACUCGGUCUCUCUCUCGGUCUCUCGGUUUCAGUUCGUGGUCCGUUCGUAGCUUGCUCUUGCAAGUCAGCCCUCUUGCAGGUCAGCCCUCUCUUUGUACCAAGUUCUCCUUUGCUCUAUCAAUGGAGGAGCCUCUUCUAUUCUGAGAAAUACCUCAAACCCACCAGCUGUUUCACUCAUUCUCAGGUUGGGGAUCGAAUUGGCAAGGAGCAUUGCAAAGGUAAUUUGCAAGAGGUACGGAAUUUGUUCUUUUAACUCUUAUUAUUAAUAUCUUUAAAAUGUUAGAGGAGUUUGAAUAUCUUAAAUAUUCAUCCAUAGAGAAGUAGGUUCUG